rnacentral:rRNA from 1 species
GGGCAGACUCCGGUUGAUCCUGCCGGACUCCACUGCUAUCGGGGUAAGGCUAAGCCAUGCAAGUCGAAGGUCCCCGGCUCCGGGGGCCUGGCAUACGGCUGAGUAACGCGUGGCCAACCUGCCCUGCGGAGGGGGAUAACCCCGGGAAACUGGGGAUAAACCCCCAUAGGUGACCGGAUCUGGAAGGACCGGUCGCCGAAAGUCCCGGUCGGGGACGCUCCGGCCGGGAGCCGCAGGAUGGGGCUGCGUCCUAUCAGGUAGUUGGUGGGGUAACGGCCCACCAAGCCUGUGACGGGUAGGGGCCCUGAGAGGGGGAGCCCCCAGAUGGACUCUGAGACAAGAGUCCAGGCCCUACGGGGCGCAGCAGGCGCGAAAACUCCGCAAUGGGCGAAAGCCCGACGGGGUUACCCCGA